CAGCUUAGAAUCAUUCCUGACAUCUUGUGGUUGAGAAACGUGGAGGUCACAGGUAACAAGAAGACACGUAACUGGGACAUUCAACCAUCACGUCGUCUUCAUGUGUGGCCCUUCGCUAAUUCAACAGCACCCAAAUAGGUGGGCCCCCCCACCCGUGAAAGGGGAUGCUCUCCCCGGUAACGUUACCCGGUUUAGCUGCGUCAGUUAUGCUAGCACAGACUAAGCGGCAUCAAGCUAGCGCUCGAGGCGCUAACGGCUCCUCUUUCUGCCGGAGAACCGUCGCGCGUUCACCGGCGCAGCGGGACACCAUUACCUCUGGGAGCGGACCCGGUGCCUGCUGUUUGUCGCCCUUGGAACGCGCAGCCCUCUUCAGCAUCCCCUUAUUGCCCGUUUCGCCGGAUUCCGCAUGCGGAUGUUGCAACUCAUUCGAGUCGGAUUGGUGGGGAUGUGCCUUGUUCCGUUACCCCGGAGUAAACUGCGGCAGAGAGAUUACAGCGGCUUCAUUUUUUUUUUUUUUUAAAGAAGACCUGUUUCCAUCCUUCCUGCUAAGCAGUGGGAGGUCGCCUCAUCUUGCUUUGAGCAGUGGCGACACCGUGCGGUCAAUAACAGGAACUACAAACACCUUCUCUGGCGGGGGGGUGGGGGGUGGAAGGCAUUGUUCAUUCAUUAUUUACAAUACUAAUGGUCUUACAUAUGUGAUAAGGGGCUGAACAGUAGUGUUACGGUUGCAGAGCUCAUCUUCAUGACUCACUUUCACGCUUUCACACACGUUGCUGCAGCCUAAAGGGUCGGUAAUGUUUUACACAUUAGCACAAUUGUUUUUCAAGUUAAUACAAAUUGAACAUCCGGGGGCAUCUUGGUUGCCGAGGGUUUUAAGAUGCUGAUUAUGUUGCCCUAACAUUCCCCAUGGAGUGUAUCCUACAAUCUUUUCUAAUGAUGGCCUUUCUCUUACCAUCCCUUAUUUUCUGUCAGCCAUCAUCUGUAAAUUGUCUAUUAAAGACAUGAAAUGUACAUUAAAUAUUAAGAAAGAAAUCAUUCUGACGAUGAA